GGCAGGUUGCCCGAGUGGUCAAUGGGAACGGUCUGUAAAACCGUCGGCUCAGCCUACCCAGGUUCGAACCCUGGACCUGCCACCA
rnacentral:tRNA from 1 species